rnacentral:rRNA from 1 species
UCNUGGGAGGCAGCAGUGAGGAAUCUUGCGCAAUGGAGGAAACUCUGACGCAGCCACCCGCGUGCCGGAAGACGGCCNUACGGGUUGUAAACGGCUUUUGUUGGGGAAGAACUGGUGGGUUUCGACNUGCCUUGACGGUACAGAAUGAAUAAGCACCGGCUAACUCCGUGCCAGCAGCCGAGGUAAUACGGAGGGUGCAAGCGUUGUCCGGAAUCAUUGGGAGUAAAGGGUGGGUAGGCGGGCAAUUAAGUCUGGGGUGAAAUCUCCGCUUAACGGUAAAAUUGCCUUGGAUACUGAGNGUCUUGAAUCUGACAGAGGGGUGGAAUUNGUAGUGUAGCGGUGAAAUGCAUAGAUAUUAGGAAGAACAUCGGUGGCGAAGGCGGCCGGCUGGGUCAGUAUUGACGCUGAGGCAAGAGAGCGUGGGGAGCGAACAGGAUUAGAUACCCUGGUAGUCCACGCUGUAAACGAUGUAUGCUAGNGNUGGGCCUNGGGUUCAGUGACGCAGUUAACGCANUAAGCC